AUGGCCAAGAAGAUUGGUUGCCAAUGGUUGUGCAAGGCAGCUAUUAUGGCUUCUCAAGCUCCAAUUUUUGUUGGUUUUAGACCAAAUUCUAAUCAAAUCCUAAUAAAAUUCUAAUGAAAUCCUAAAUUCUAAAUCAAACCCUAAUCAAAUUUUAGAAAAAUUCUAAAUCUUAACCAAAUCUUAAUGAAGUCUUAAACUCUAAAUUUUAAACCAGACCCUAAUCAAAUUCUAAAUCUUAAAUCAAAUCCUAGACAAACCUUAGAUCCAAAACCAAAUCCUAACAAAAUCCUAAACCUUUAACCAAACUCUAAUCAAAUUCUAAACUCUAAACCAAAUCCUAGAUGAAUUGUAGACCCUAAAUCAAAUCCUAACCAAAUCCUAAAUCCUAAAUCAAAUCCUAAUCAAAUCUUAGAUCAUAAAUCAAAUCCUAAUCAAAAUCUUAAUCAAACCUUAGAUAAAUUCCAAAUCCUAAUCAAAUUUUAAACUCUAAAUCCUAAACCAAAUCCUAAUCAAAUGUCAAGGACAUGAAUCUUGAAGAAAGAGAAUCG
rnacentral:lncRNA from 1 species